UGUGCUCUUGCAAUCUGGAGCUAGCCGAGUCCGAUGCAAAAGCAGAGAGUCUUUUAUUCGAACUAGUUCGGCUCCCCGACCACACUCACCGAUGCAACGGUAAGCCAAGUGGCAGAGAGAGAGCGAGAGAGCGCGGGAGAGAGGUUUUAUAGUAAGGGGAGGAGAGAGGA